rnacentral:lncRNA from 1 species
GUCUGGGAACAAACAUCAUUGUAUGCUGUUUCAUUCUUGAAUGCGCAGCAAAUGCUGUGAUCCUGAUGUCAUUAGAUUUUGUCUAUAAAUAAGAUGACAUCACUUGGGCAGUACGUAUUAUUUCUGCAUUAUUUCAUCAUGUAUUUAAAUUGAUGAAAACGACAAUAGUGAUUAAUGAAUUAUACUUCACUGAAUUAUACUUCACUGCCAUAGAAUAUUAUAUGUGCAGAAUAUGAUAUUGUUGGUGAACUGUAAAGAUGUCUUUUCAAAAUCUCUACAUACUUCAUGCUAUGAAUGGUACUACCGAAAGCUACCAUUGACUUUGCCAACUCCAUACCAUGAUAGUCUGGGUAUGAUCCACUCUGUCUGUCACGAUUAAGUACACCAGGAGACGCACCUCGCACCAAUCUGCAUGACAGCGGAACCUGGUUAUAAGGAACUUUGGAGCAGCUGAUCGGGGCUGCAACAUUUUUAUGUGGACCGGGCACAUCAGUUCUGGCAAUCGGCACACGCCUGCGGAUAAUUUGAAAGAUGAUCUACUCCUGUUCUCCUGUUCUCCUCCUGUUCUCAGGGAUAUUUACUAUAGCUCACUGUCAUCAGCUUCACGACAACAUCACAGCUGUUGAGACGCUGAAGUUGAUCCAGGUAACCACUGGUCCAGCAUUGGGUCCUAUUGACAGACGGACUGCAUCUGAGGGAACAGCUUUCAAAAAAAGUCCAGGCAGCAGAGGACAAGUUGCCUCAGCUUCAAAAAAAGUUGCGGCUCCAAGACGCUAUCGACGGUGUCGCUGCUUCCGGAAGAAAGCAAAAACCAGCUUGUCUCCAGCUCCGACCCGUUCUGCAGCUUUCAACACAUCUGCAUUUAAGGAAACCAUGACCACAAUUUCUGAAGUUGUUCAACUGGCUUUUGAACCUUCAACUACCAAUUUAACAUUACCUUCCUGUAUUCAAACUGAUAAACCUACCAGAAAAACUGCUUCUUCUCCAUCUGCUGCACCUGAAAUUCCAAGUAGCACUACAUUUAGAACAGCAGAUUCUGUGAAACGAACUAUAGGAACACCUAUACAUUCUGUACAUUCUGCACAUUCUGUUGCUACUCCUGUCAGUACUCCUUCACCUGCACCAUCAACUGAGUCUCCUGAUGUCACCCCAUCUGCUACAACAGAAAACCCGACCAGCUCCACACAGGUCAUCCAUACCUCAAAAAGUCCACCAGAGCUUCCAGAACAUACAACAACCAGUGCUGAAAGAGCUUCUGCGACCACUGAAGUUACUGUGACCAAAUUCACCACUUUGAUUGCAGCAGAUGCAUUCUUUGUUAAAGAUGAAAUUCCAACCGCAACUUAUUCCUCUAAUGAUUUAGUUCAUUUCUCUUCAGAAACUCCAACUUCUCCCAUUUCAGAUGCUGAAAGUACCCCACAGGCUUAUACAUCAUUCAGCCAAAUUUUAUCAAAGUUUUAUAACAAAGCAGCUCCUGUUAUUGAUGUGACUGUUCCAGAAACCCCAGUGGAAAUAUCUGCCAAAGCCACCAGCGUCAGUUCUACCAGGGAAUCAAGUACAGCUACCCUAUUCAGUACAUCCAGCGUCACAAUGACUUUAGAACCUAGAAUGACAGAUGACUUCCCAGUGAGUACAGGUGCACCUACUGUUACUGAAACCUCAACCCCAAUAACAGAAAUAUCAAUACCUGAUAUCGAAGUGGCUGCUGAUACUAAAGCUUUUGAGACUGCGGAUUCUGCUGUUAGUUAUUCACCUUCACCUGCUAAUUCAAACACUCCUAUUUCAACUUUUACUUCAACGCAAUCAGCACUUGGAAAGUCCUCAGAUGCUACAAGAAAGUCUGCUACAUUUUUAACUUUAUUAACUGCAAGAGAAACUUCAGCUAGCUCCACACUGACAACCCCAGCUCCUGCUGCUUGGACUUCCAUGCCUUACACUGCACCGCCUGUGACUGUAAAAACCCAAGCAGAAGUUCCACCAGCUGACAGUACAUCCGGAAUGUCUAGAGUAUCCUCUGUCCCAGGAACACCACUUGGCAUUUCGGAUCAUUCUCCUGCAGAACAAUCUAUUCUAUUUCGAUCAAUGAGACUAGAAGAACAGAGUACCACUACAUUUGGACCAAAAAGUACUACUGGUGGAUCUUUUGGUACUACCACGAUUUCUAGUUCUGAAAUGUCCCCGACCCUUACAGAAGUGUCCAAUGUUGGAGAAACUACACUAAAUUCUUCAUACAUCCAUCAUGGUAAACCAACUCCAUUAGACAGAAAGGCCACUAUUUCUGCUGGUACUGACGAAAAAGCCACAACAGAAGGACUGGCUAAUACAAGGGAUGACCACAGUAUUUCCACAAACAUUGAUACAAAAUUAGCUAUGGCAGCCAUGACUUCUCAUUCAGAAGAUACAGUCAACACAACUGAUUCUUCAGAUGACAUUACUGCUCCUUCAGCAGGUCAUGAUAGAGCAGCUCUUCCAGCAAUCAUACAUACAUCUCCCAGUAUAACACCUUCUGUGGCUACUUCUGGUAAUGAAAAAAGACAGACGGUCCAUUCAGGUGAAGCUACUACUGCACUUUCAUCUCCUAAAAUUGCUGGAUCAACUCCCAGUUCAGACAUUUACUCCACUUACACGGCAGUGGCUAUGAAUUUAAAAACCUCAGACGCUACAAAAAAGUCUGCUACAUUUUUAACUUCAUUCACUACAAGAGAACUUUCCGCUAGCUCCACACUGACAACCUUAGCUCCUGCUGCUUGGACUUCCACCAUCUACACUGCACCGCCUGUGGCUGUAAAAACCCAAGCAGAAGUUCCACCAGCUGACAGCACAUCCAGAAUGUCUAGAGUAUCCUCUGUCCCAGGAACACCACUUGGCAUUUCGGAUCAUUCUACAGCUUCCACUGCAGAACAAUCUAUUCUAUUUCGAUCAAUGAGACUAGAAGAACAGAGUACCACUACAUUUGGACCAAAAAGUACUACUGGUGGAUCUUUUGGUACUACCACGAUUUCUAGUUCUGAAAUGUCCCCGACCCUUACAGAAGUGUCCAAUGUUGGAGAAACUACACUAAAUUCUUCAUACAUCCAUCAUGGUAAACCAACUCCAUUAGACAGAAAGGCCACUAUUUCUGCUGGUACUGACGAAAAAGCCACAACAGAAGGACUGGCUAAUACAAGGGAUGACCACAGUAUUUCCACAAACAUUGAUACUAAAUUAGCUAUGGCAGCCAUGACUUCUCAUUCAGAAGAUACAGUCAACACAACUGAUUCUUCAGAUGACAUUACUGCUCCUUCAGCAGGUCAUGAUAGAGCAGCUCUUCCAGCAAUCAUACAUACAUCUCCCAGUAUAACACCUUCUGUGGCUACUUCUGGUAAUGAAAAAAGACAGACGGUCCAUUCAGGUGAAGCUACUACUGCACUUUCGUCUCCUAAAAUUGCUGGAUCAACUCCCAGUUCAGACAUUUACUUCACUUACACAGCAGUGGCUAUGAAUUUAAAAACCUCAGACUCUACAAAAAAGUCUGCUACAUUUUUAACUUUAUUAACUGCAAGAGAACCUUCAGCUAGCUCCACACUGACAACCCCAGCUCCUGCUGCUUGGACUUCCAUGCCUUACACUGCACCGCCUGCGGAUGUAAAAACCCAAGAAGAAGUUCCACCAGCUGACAGUACAUCCAGAAUGUCUAGAGUAUCCUCUGUACCAGGAACACCACUUAGCAUUUUGGAUCAUUCUACAGCUUCUACUGCAGCGCCAGGAGAAGUUCCAGUCACUACUGGCAACGUUGGUUCUUCUACGACAACAGCAGUUCCAAACUCAAUUGACAUUCCAAUUCAUGUGAAAAUGGUCACUACUGCUCUCACUCCUUCUCUAAACAUGGCAACAACAGAACCAAAAAGUACACAUGUUUGGUUGGUUCCAGUGGAAUCAACUAAAAUGCUUACAACUGGAACAGAACUAGUUUCUUCUAGCACUACAGAAGCUUUUAGCAUUCUAUCUGCUGGAAAAAUGACAGUACCACCUACUAUGACAAUUAAUACAACCUCUUUGGCUGCUAUGGGAGUUGGAACAGGAACCGAAUCCCCAACCGCUACAACAAGUACACCUUCUAUUAAAAGAGGUGUUUCUACUACAGCUACUACAGUAUCUGCCGCUGUAACAACUACUACAUCAACUACAUCUUCAGCUAUACCCUCUGAAAUUUCUUCAACAACACUCUCUGCUGCAACUACUACAACCACCACCACCACAACAACAACAACAGCACAGGCAGCCAGAGUAGUGUCACAUCGUCCAGAUCCAACCGCCACUAUCCAGUUUGUCAUAAGCAUACCGUAUGUACCGGAACUGAAUGACUCUGAGAGUGAUGAAUUUAAGACACAGGCCAAAGUGAUUACUGAUGCGUUGGAUUCCAUCUACAGCAAAAAAUAUGGAGACUUAUUUGUCAAAUCUGUGGUGACAGGCUUCAGUCGCCAGUCACGCAGUCGAGCUGACUAUGUAGAAGCAGAAGUGGAACUGAUCUUCAAUCAGAAGUCAGUAGAACCAAUCCCUGCCAACAGUGAGAUUACAAACACCCUGGUUGAUGCCGUUCAGGAGACCGUCAAUGACACCUUCCUGCAAAUGGUGAACAUCCAAACGAUUAUCUUGUCAAAAGGCCCCCAAAGCACACCAAAUGCACGGUUCUCCACCAACGAGAUAUUUGUUCCAGACCUGGCAGAUCCAAAAUCUCUCGCUUUUCAAGAAAGAGCGUCACACGUCAAAGCCGAGCUUGAGCCCUUUUUCUUUGACGACUUCAAGCCGGAUUUCAUCUUGUUGACAGUAAUGAAUUUCAGCCAAGGAUCAAUCGUUCAUACCUACAAUCUAAUCUUCACCAGCAAUGCCACUUUACCCACAAGUACAGCUAUUGCAAGCACAUUGCUCAAGGCGGCACGCAGUGGCACAUUGUCCUUUAACAUUACCACGAUAGAUGGAAAAGAUAUUUUCUCCAACAUAAGCAAUACAAUUGUUCUAAACAGUGAAAUACCGCUGUACGGCAGCAACCUAAGCAGUGUCCCCACUCUGCGUUCUACCGGCAGUCUCAUUGGAUUGUCUCUGCUAUUGACGCUGAAGCCACUGCUCCUAUGAAAAAUCUAUUCCACCUCUGGAAAGUUUCUUUUCUCCAUGUUCAAAUCCACUCAACCACAUGGACCCAAAGAUAGCUUUGCGUGUAGACCAUACAAUGCCCCAUAUAAAGGAUGGGGGGGUUGCAAGAAUGUGAUGAAUAUACUGUCAUUUUUGAGCAUUUUUAUAUUAAAAAAAAUUUCAUUUAUUCAUGUUUUUGUUCCUUAAAUAGAGCCUUAUUCUCUGAUUGUUUUGACAGUACAUUUUUCUUGAAAUGAAAUAUAUGGCCAGUGGUGGAGUUCAAGUAGAGUUACACAAUGUAAAAUAUAACUCCAGUUCUCCCUUUUAAAAGCUAGAAAAAGUACUUCAAAUGUUCAAUAAAAAAUAGGUGGGCCCACUAUUUUCA